rnacentral:lncRNA from 1 species
CUUCAGAUCUUUAUACGGCCACUGAUCCAACAGAUGAUGAUUCUUCUCGUAACUUAACUUAUUCGUCUCCUGCAACAGAUCUGGAUAAGGCUUCUAAUCCUGUUUCCGCUUCUGCUUUAGCUGAUUCUUCUUAGUAAUAGUACGAUUCCACUCUCUAUACUAGAGCCCCCAUCUUUCUUCAAUUCUUCAAUGAAACAAACCGGAUCUUGAUCCAUCUUCUUUACCAGCUUCCUCUGUUACUCUUGAUCUAUCUGAUGAUCCUGCUCUACCUAACCCGGAAACCAGAAGUUCUUUACUUGUUACGAAGGGAAGCAGUGGGAGUAGAAUUCAUGGGUUUUGGCAAUUCCGGUAGUUUCGUUCGGGUCAAGCCAAGUGAUAGGGCAGGAGGUGCAAGCCAAGUUCAAAGAACUAUAGGAGCAAAGCCAAGUUCAAGGGAGCAGCGAGGGUAAAGUCAACAGUCAGUUUAGGAGUGUAGCACCGGAGACAAAGUCAAUGCAAGCGGUUCUUCAAGUUCCAUUUCCUUUCUGGUUCUUGUUUUGUCAUAUAUAGAAGCCGAGACAGAAUGCUUAGGCAAAAGUGCUGUAGCAAGCAGGUAAUCUGAAAGUGGAACAAACAACUGGCUUUCACACUCGAUUGAGAGUUCCGGGCAGAAUUAUGUAAAGGCUUUGAUGCCCUAAAGGGAGCUAGGAGAAUAGAGAAAGAAGGGAGCUAAGCUAGUGUAAUAGAGAAAGAAGGGAGCUAGGCUAGGAGAAUAGAGAAAGAAGGGAGCUAGUGUAAUAGAGAAGGGAGCGGCUGCCCCGGAUAAGCUAAACGAGUAUUCUAACGAGCCCUGCUGCACUGCUAUUGUCUGGUAGGGGAAGCAAAGGGCUAACAUAUGUACGUACGAGUUAAGUUACUCCUUUCUAUAAUAGUAAUAUAGUUGCACUAAAUAAAACAAGCGAGUUUAGGUUUAGUUCGCCGGGGUGCUAAGGGGUACGGUGCCUCUAUUCGUGAUUAAGGCAAACAGUGAGUACCGUAUAUUAGUAGUAAUGUUAUGCUCUUAUCUCAAUGUAAGUGCAAAUGAUUUUCAACAAAAGUAACAGAGUGAGUAACGCUAGCAAAAAGCCGUAUCGCACAACAGAACAAUAAAGAAUAGGAAGAGCAAAGCAGUGAGUCGGAGCGGUUUCAAUGGCAUUCAUAACUUCAAGGAGAGGCUCUUAUUGUAAGUUCGCUAAGCAAGAAAGAUUACUGUUUGGUUUGACUGAACACGAAGACUCAACUGGCCCAGGCCCAACAAGAGUAAGUGCGCUAACAGGAGUUUUUUACAGUUCCGUUUAUAGGUAAAUAGGAGAAUAAGCAAGAUCAUAACCUAGAUAAUCUACAGGAACAAGCCGAUAACGAUCAGAUUCCAAAGAAAGGGAUUCAGUACGGGUGAAGUCUCCGAGAUCAGAAAGGUUUUUAGUGUAUUUACUUAGAUCUAUACAAAGUGUUCGAGAAGAGAGGCAGAGUUGAGAGAACAAGCCAGGGGUCUAUUGGAGGUAGUUGACAGAGCCUAGCCUGUAGUUGGUGAGUUUCAUCCGAAAUGUAAUCCUAUAGAAAGAUCCAUAAUAUGAGAAAGUUCUUUUACAAGUCUAGGUUUUGGUGAACCAACCCAGUACUCUUUCACCCCAUUAAUUAAGGGCACAGGACAAUUCAGUUAGAUGAGAUGGAAAGGUAUUGAUGCCUACCUAUUGCAUGAUCAACUGCUGAAGUCAAGUAUCCGAAGAAGCAACUAAGAAUAAUUUCAUUCCUUCCCAUAUAGAAGCAGUGCUAAAGAAGCAAGUAAGAAGGGCAAGACUCCUUAAGAUGUGACCAAUACCCGAGGCCCCAUAUGACCAGUAAGAUAGAAUCCAAUCCGGUAACUAACCAAACCCAGUACUUGACUUCUUUCUUGACUUCAACUUAUGCUCUUUGAACAAGGGCGAAAUUCUUCUUAGUAGUUCAUUCCUCCUGACUGAGAGGGGCAAGCAGUAAGGAGUGAGGUUAAAGCAUCAUAGUCGAGGUGGGCAAGGUUUACAAUAAGUCCUUUGUUCAGCAAGCGGGUAUCUCGGGCUAAAGUCAGCUACCGGGCUAUUCAAUUAGUAGGCGUCAAUGCACUAUAACAUCACUUCUGGGGUUUGAUGGUCAAUCACAUUAAAAACAGAUAUGGAUUAGAAAUAAUGCAUUUCAAUCCUAUAAAACAUGGGCAAGAGAACCAGUGGAAUUCUUUUUCUUUCUUGUUUCAUUCUACUUAUACUAAUACUUAGAAGCGGUCUUCUACUCUGCAACUAAGAAGAAGGGAGAAGAAUAAUCAUAAGGGAUAAGAAGAGGAUUGAGCUAUGAAGUCAUUGAUACCUGUAUUAUAUAUAACUCCUAACUCGAAACUCCUAAUACUUUCUUUUAAAUACUAUAACUCCGGUGCCAGUUUUCUUCUUUAAUGCCGGUUUCAUCCCCGCCAAGUAACUACUAGACAAGACACUGCUUCUUUUAUCGUAGACAACACUAGAACUUCACCUUUGUAGUGGGCAUGAGAUUAGAGCUAGAUGAGAUGAGGCUGAAAGUGCAACUUAUUCUCGGCUUCUGGUACUCUCCUUUCUACUUCAACUGAUCCUGAUCCAGCUUAUUCGACUGCAUCCGCUGACUCGUCACUUUCAGAAUUGACUGAACUUGUUGCUCCUGACUCCACUAAUACGGAUACUGAUGUUUCGAGUGCCAAUGGAGCUCCCCCGGAUCUUGCUGCCUCACCGGAUACGGCGGAUUCUCUAUACGCCAACUAAGGUCAAUCAAGCCAAUCUGCUUCCUUUACACCAAAGCAAACUGCGGAUUCUAUCAACUCUCCGGAAACUGGAAUGGAAUCUAUUGGCGAGUCCACAAAUAAAUCAUCUCUCUCGGCAAGAACCUAUAUUGGUGAUUCCAUUGAGAAAGCUUCUGCACUUGCUUAUGGAGUUAAGGGGCGGGGUGCUUAUUCCAUUGAUUCUCACUUUCCGGGAGGUAAUACUAACUCUGGCUUGGGAACCUGCGAUUCUCUUACGCCCCACUUCCUCAAAUUAUGAUAUAUAUAACCAUUAUUCUAUGACUUAGCUUUUGCACCAAUGAUUCUCAUUCCUAAAGUAGCACUACAACUUCUGAAAGUAACAUAGCUCGUUAUUAAGGUAGCAUCACCUAUUCUGUGAGUGGUAAUUCACUCGUUCUGUGAGCGUAACAUUAACUCAUUUAUUUUCAUAUGUUGUGUUGCGCGUCCUCAGUCUGUUAGCGGCUAUUCCCUCCCUCGGUCUUCGGGCGAAACAUCGAAUGUCAUCGAGUGUCUUCGCUCAUUCACCCAUGCUUAGAAGGUACAUUGCACAUGCUUAGAAGGUCCAUUGCUUUCCCUUUUGAUGCUUAUAACAGUCAGUUCGAUUAUGUCUCCCCGUCCUGGGUCCCUAACGAGAAAAGGCUUAUGCAGAGUAUGGUUUAGAAGAAAGCAAAGUGGUAUAAGUUUUCAACAAGGGGAUAGGGAAGUGCAAUAAGCUAUACGGAACGAAACCACCCAACUAUAUUCUGGUUUGUAUUAAUAGAAAUGUAUUAAUAGAAAAACCACCACUAUACUCUCUUUGGACAGCGCCGAUGCUAUUCUUGCUUUUGUUUGGCAGUGCUUCUUAUAAGAUAGUUUACUCAGUGCCAAUUCUAUUACUGAGCUCUGGAAUCUAUAGCACGACCUACUAUAUAAUAAUAAUAUAAUAAAUGCUAACUAUCAAGUAAGAAUCAACUAAUACUAUUGGAAUGGAACUGGGAAUUAAGACACCUAUAACGAAUGAAACGAGUACUAAUAGGAAUGAAACAAUCAAUACGGGCUUAAGGAAUGAGCUCGACAAGCAACGGACCAAGCUUAGUUUAGUAUAGACAAGCAACGGCAACUAUAAGAAUAGAACUUCUACAGAUGAUACUUUAACAGCUUACCAACAGGGCUUAUGCUCAACACUAGGGCUUUUCACUGGAAAUGUAGGUUAAUAACAGGCUCGAACUGGCGACUACCUUACUUUUACUCAUAACUCGGGCUACAACUCAUAACUAAGGCCCCGGCUACAGCUUCUUUAAACUCAGGCUUCGGCUACAGCUUUUAGAGCUCAGCUCUUUAACUCAGAAGUAAGGCUGGCACUGCCUACUAAAAGCAUUAACUCAACACUCAUUCUUAUACUCCUUGCAAAAGUCUGCCUCUGUGGGCGCAUACUCUACCUUCUACUCUUAAAGUGGAGUGUAAGCCUUCUAAUUGCAAGUUUCAAACUGGCUGGCUCCUGUCCUGCGUGGACCAAAUCCGUAUUCUAUUUGGUCGCUUCAGUCCUGCUUGUUGGUUUUAUAGCCUCCCUCCUUUGGGUACCCAACUAAGAUGGGGCAGAAUGAACUCAACAGUCAAAGAACUCAACACAGUAGUAAUGAGCACCAAGCGCAUGGGGUCAGAAGUCAACUCAUUAGUCUCAGUGGCUUUUUCCUCUACUUUGGAACUCAGACUUUCACUCAUAAGUCGAAAUGGAACUAGUGCUUCUAAUAUGAUAACUUUGAACUGGGCUCUAAACUACUCCUUUUGCCGGGUCUGCUCUUCAUUCUCAUACUAGAACCUUGCUUUCUCACUUAUCAGUCACCAAGCAACUACUAAUGACCAAGCCACUACUAACCAAACAACGGCGCAAGACGUUGAGCGGUAGCAAUAGUAAUAGAUAUAACAAAGUUAUUACAAUAGAUGUGUUCUGGGCGGUAGGAGGAAGUGAGCUAAACGUUAGCGAGUCCGGGGCCUGACUAGUCCAAUUCUCACUUUGGUAACACCUACUUCUAUUCUAACUGCUGUCAUUGUACUAGAGCAUCGGAGACUCGGGGGGAAUGUAGCUGCUUCUUUAAGGCUUCUACUUACUAGUUGGAUUCUGAGUCUUAUACUAGAUGCUUACUACUAGCAGCGGAGGCCCAGGACUACUAGACUUAACGAGCACCUCCAACUGGUAUGAAACAAAUUCCACUUCACGAAACCCGUGUUUUUGGGUAGCAACCCUGUUUUCGCUAAUAGACCCAUGAAAAAGAGAUAGAAUUUCAUGAAAACCCGUUAAACAACACUGCCGCGUAACAUUCUGUUCCUUGGCGGGUAGCAUUGGAGUUUUCCUUCCUGAGUGCCCAGAUUGAAAUGGCCAAGACACUCGGAGACAACUACAAUAAGAAACAACAUAAGGUAUAUUUAUGAUGAGCUAUGCCUUAAGAUGUGUUCAGGCGCGGCAGCCCAAUAAUAGUUAUAACGAAGUUAUUACAAUAGAUGUUUUCGUUGCGUUUUCCCGUGUUUUUUGGUUGUAAAUGGAUUUCCCUUCCUGAGGCACCUGAUGGAAAUUACAAUUUCACGUUUUCCCGGGAUUUUUCAUAGCAAAUAGAAUUUCCCUCCUGAGCCGGUCCAUUGAAAUGAGAUUUUUUACGAAACACGGUAAACAGCGCUGCCGCGUAACAUUAGCAGUUACUUGGCUCAUAGCAAAUGGGGAAAUAGUAUGGUACUUCACUUAGGCUUCCACUCGGUAUUCAACUAUAGUACCGACCUCGACUCACCAGACUUAAGAACCAACACCCUACUUUAGAACCAGAGCUGGGGCAGUACCACCAGGAGCUGUACUCAAGGGAGCAGUACUAAAGGGAUGGGAUGAAACUCUAACUCGACAAACAAGAACAGCCCCGAUUGCAGCUGGCUCUUCCAAACUAUCCCUAGCUACUUUCCUAGACUUAACUAACACAACACAAUAUCCUCUUGGGCUUCUUCUCCUGGAACUGUCACUGUAACAGGAAUAGGACAAAUACUAUAAUCAUAAGGGCCUUAUAGUAAUUUGGGAGCUACACUAAGAAUUCCACUAUCAACUCUAAACUCNNNNNNNNNNNNNNNNNNNNNNNNNNNNNNNNNNNNNNNNNNNNNNNNNNNNNNNNNNNNNNNNNNNNNNNNNNNNNNNNNNNNNNNNNNNNNNNNNNNNNNNNNNNNNNNNNNNNNNNNNNNNNNNNNNNNNNNNNNNNNNNNNNNNNNNNNNNNNNNNNNNNNNNNNNNNNNNNNNNNNNNNNNNNNNNNNNNNNNNNNNNNNNNNNNNNNNNNNNNNNNNNNNNNNNNNNNNNNNNNNNNNNNNNNNNNNNNNNNNNNNNNNNNNNNNNNNNNNNNNNNNNNNNNNNNNNNNNNNNNNNNNNNNNNNNNNNNNNNNNNNNNNNNNNNNNNNNNNNNNNNNNNNNNNNNNNNNNNNNNNNNNNNNNNNNNNNNNNNNNNNNNNNNNNNNNNNNNNNNNNNNNNNNNNNNNNNNNNNNNNNNNNNNNNNNNNNNNNNNNNNNNNNNNNNNNNNNNNNNNNNNNNNNNNNNNNNNNNNNNNNNNNNNNNNNNNNNNNNNNNNNNNNNNNNNNNNNNNNNNNNNNNNNNNNNNNNNNNNNNNNNNNNNNNNNNNNNNNNNNNNNNNNNNNNNNNNNNNNNNNNNNNNNNNNNNNNNNNNNNNNNNNNNNNNNNNNNNNNNNNNNNNNNNNNNNNNNNNNNNNNNNNNNNNNNNNNNNNNNNNNNNNNNNNNNNNNNNNNNNNNNNNCAAUCUAGUUUCCUUAAUAAAGAUAGAGAAAAUUAUCCACUCGCCAAGUCACUCCUAAUGUGUAGCGGCAGUGAGCUACCCCCUACUAUGUCUGUACUGAAUAGAUACAUAAGAAAUUGUAAGACUUUUCUUGAUUAUUUGUGAUUUGAGAAUUUGUGAUUGGAUUGUUUUGAUCAUUUCUUUGAUACUUGAAAAAAGGCUCCUCUCCUAUACUACUCCUCUGUAAACUAACCACUCCUACUUAAUAUAAGGGCAGCUAAAUCCAUUCCUUUCUCAAGAAUUCCACUAGCUACUCUUAACUACUGGCAAAUCAUGCAACAGGGGAUUACACUCUCACUGGAGCAGUACUCAAGGUCUUACACUCUAACUCACAACUAGGAGCUCUCAAUCCGGUCUUCAACUAGCCAAUAACCUACUACUCGGGAAAGCUAUCAAACUGGAAUGUCAAUUUACUUAGACACAAGCAACUCUGAUCCUUAUGAAAGACAAUCAUAUCAAUCAGAGCAUUCUCUACGGUAACCGGAUGACGAAAACCAGACUUGCUACAGGCAACGUACUCACGCCGACGACUGACGAAAACAGAAAUGGAAUUUCCAGAGAUAUAUAUAAGACUCAAUUCUCAUAGAUAUAUAUAAGAUCAUAUGGAAAUGGAAUUCUUCACAGAAGGGAUCGGUGUUUUAAAGAAGAUGGAUUUCUUAUUUGAUGCUUUACCAGUUUUACCAGCUUUACCUGCUUACAGCCUAUUACUUGUAGUACCUGCGGAAUAGGUUAUUUUCGAAAGGGAACCUUCUCAGAAAGAGUCAUUUCCUAACUUGUAGCUCGGUUUCCUUUGAAGUAAAGUUGGCAUGGCACGCACGAGUCUUCUUUAAUAUAAUGGCCCACUUUGGCUUUAGCCGGAUCUUCGGAGGCAGAAAAAGGUAACUGAGACUCUCUUUAGCAACUGUUGUGCUACUUCUUGAGUCUAUUCUUUCAUUUCUUUUUGUUCUAGCUUAGCUUUCCAAAUGAAACCUACACUCUCUACUCAUGUCAUGAAGCGCUUGUAAAGACUCCUUUGUCACUGGACAUGCACUAUUGAUUAAUUCUCACUACUAGUAGUAAUAAGAGUGUCUAUAUGGGAGUAAUAAGAGUGUCUAUAUGGAACCUUGAAAGGUGUAACAAUAAAUGGACCUAACUACUAGCUCAUAACUCUAAGGAAAGCAUAGUUAGGAACGGUUCACAAGAUGGAAACAAUGGGCCAAGCCCACAAGACACUCAAGCACAACAUAAAUAAGAAAAACAACAUAAAGUGUUUUGUUUGUUCUCUGACUUUCCAUUCCUACUAAGAGCACUGGGUUAGUUGCCCUAAUCUAUGAGACCCCUUUUCUCCGGCGAUACUAUACCCCUUUUAUCCGGCUCAUUCAUCUAUAUUCUUGUUUGCAAUGUAAAGGAAGAAGAGGCUCUUAGCACCUCGGUGCCGUGCCCUAAACAGAAGAGAGUUUCCUCAGUGCCCCCCCAGUUCUCCAUUCUGACUUGAUAGUUUCCUCAGUGCCAAUUCCUUUCUUAGUUUUUGUUGAGAGGUGACUUCUGACUUUAUUAUGAGAUUAUUCUAGCAGACGUCGAAUCUCUAUCUUACUACUCUUAUGACUUGACUCUUAUAUCUAUUAUUCUUGCAGACCUAGCUCAGCACUCUGGUUAUGACCUUCCAGUUGAAUACUUAUCAAGAGAACUAGGUUGCUUGGCGGUUGAUGCACUGGUUUCAUCCCUUGUUUGAUUCCGAUUGGUAUUGAUUGAAGCCUUAGCAACAGUAGUGUGAGACCUCAGCUACCCAACAUCAGCCCGUGACUCACUAGCGGCAGUCCGAGGAGCAGCAGCACCAGUCCAAUACUACCUUAGCAUCAGUCCAAUACCUAGCAGACACCGCAUCAGCCUGUAAUUACCUAGGCCAAUUCUUGUUAGCACUUGUUUAAGUUUGAUAGCUAGCAGAGAUAGACUGAUCUGAAAGGGAGUUAGCCCGGGAUCUUAGUGCUAAUCUGUAUAUUCCCAGUCCGAUGUAAGAUAUGACUCAUGAGUUUGAUACGGUGCCCACUAAGCCAACUUCUCUAUUUCGAGUUAAAGCAUGAAAAGCACUAGUAUAAGUUUUGAAGCGGUAAAGGUAAGACUCACUUCUUAACUCAUUAAUGUUGUUAGUAGCAGGCCUAUAGUUAAUAUAGGUUACUUAUUAAUAGUUCUAGUUUGUUUGCCAGCAGUUAUAGUUUGUUUGCCAGCAGUUCUGUUUGUUACUAGUUUCAAUCUUGCUAUCAGCAACUAAGGUCUUAAAAGAAAUAGUACAGGGCUAAGUUCCGAACCAGAGUCUUAUUGGUAGUUGUGAAAGAAUACAAGUCAGUAGUUACAGAAGAAUAUCUGAUAGUCAAAGACGUAGUAAGGUUGUUGUGGGCAAGUAGUAAGUCUUAGUUCCUAGUGUGAGUCUCGUUGUGCGCAGUUAGAUUCCCUAUUUUGUACUUGAUAGUUGAAGUUUACAGGGGCCCAUUAAAGGCUUAGUUCCGAGUUCUUUUCUUAUAGUAUGGUGUAGUGUUCAAUUCCUAGUUAGAAGUUCUCGUCUAUCAGAGUGGUAUUGCAUUCUAUCAGUACUAUUUAUAUUCUAAUAGAGUGGGGGAGGGCUCCUAGGCCCAAGUGUCAAAGUCAGUCCUAUUAUACACUGGUAAAUGCUUAUUGGUAGUGAUUUCAAUCCCGGUUAUGAACAAAUAAGGUCUUAUCGGAUACUAGUAAAUUCCCUAUUCCUGUAUUUCUUCUAAUAAGUAGUAUAGGUUGGUUCGAAUAAGUAGUAUAGGUUGGUGCUGGAGUGCCCAGUUUUAUUACACGCCCAGAGAGAGAGAGUCUUGCUGGACACUAGUGAAGUUUGAGAAGGCAUUAGUGAAGUCCGAGCGGGCAGUGGUUCAUCCCCUUUUGAUUAGUAAUUCCAUUCUGUUGAUUGACACUCUAAUUCUAUUAGGCCCCUUGCUCCGGUAUUAACUCAAUUGUUGUAAGGAGUAGCUCAAUCCCGAGUUCCCGGUUCGAUAUCUCUAGUUGUUAGUUAAAGUAGUAGUAGCACCAGUCCAAUUCUUAUCUACAGUAGUCAAAGUCUCUAUUCCAAGUUGAGUCUAUCAGGUAGUGGUCUCACUCCUGCCGGUAGUAACUAGAGUCUAAGAAGCACCCGGUUAGGUCUCAUGGUCCACCAAGUCAUUCUAUAUUCUAAGAUCAAGUCAUUCGAUUUAUUAGUUUGAUUCCCGAGCUCAAUUCUAAUAGGUAGCGAGUUUAGGGCUAGGGCCGCUACACUCUUUCGGCGCUUCUCAUACUGUCACACUACAUAACUUAGGCUUUCACUCCUACUAAUAAGGAUCCGACUAUACUUGCUUAAAACCUGACUUGCCCCUCUUAUACUACGACUAAUCAGAAUUGACCUAGUAAAAACAAGGGCAGCUUUAGCUGGCUGCCGAUUGCUUUAAGGGAUUUCACUACCAACUACUGUAGGUCUACCGAUACUGAUCUCAAAACUAUAUUUACUUGCUGCCAACUCGAACUAUCCUUCUGAAAAUACCCUACCGCUCCUAACUCUUGAAAUGGUUCCUACCAGACUGAAUGCGCACUUACGGAAUUAAGCAUGGAAUACAUGAUUUCACUCAACGGUAACAGGCUUCAACUUGAGAGCACCAGAAACGGAAUUUGCUGUAGAAGGAAUGGAUUCUUACACAGAACUCCUUGCUUACUUAAUUGAAUCUCUCGAGCAACUAACAGAAACUCACCGUCACCGGACUAAUGCACCCCGUAGAAGCUCAUUAACACGCAAGUAACAGAAUGAAUGAAAUCCUUCUAGCUAAAGAGAAAGUAUAGAAUGUGUUUGUAAUAUUGCCCCUACUACUCUAUACAAUACUUGCUUGUUUGAUUAAAUGAAUGAGCCGAUCUAUACCUAAAGUCAAUUAUGGACUUCCCUUGACCCUGGAUUGAGAAUAUUAAUUAGCCCUUUAUAGUAGUAUUAUUGAUUUACCUUGACCCUCGAUGUAUAAGAUUAAUGAACCGAACCGAACGAUAGAAACCAUCUUUCUUUAUUGACAACUCUAUUGCUAUAGUCCCCGUUCUUUAUACCCUUCGGAUUUCCUGAUGAGAUUCAUUCUCCUAGUUUGGAAUAUGGGAUUGGUGGCCUUGCCUUUCCCUUGUUUAAAAAGAGCUUUCAUAGGAUACACAUGGAAUUGAAAGAGAGCAACCGUACUUUUGCUUAUACUGGAGACGCACCCGAACCCUUCACUAUCGGAAUAGGACAUCCUACUUACUGCUUUAUGGGACUAGCAGCUUUACUACUCUUUCUUUUGACUCGGGAAAAAGCCUUUCACUCAUACUCUUAUAACGCGAGAGAACGAUCUGAAGCCGGCUGGCUCGGCCUAUAUUAAUGAUGAAAGUGGAUUAGUGCUUAAGGUGUCUUGCUACUAUAUUACUUGGUGCACAAAAUGCGUUUCUUAAAGCAAGGUGCUAAGAGCCAAGGCAAUAAUGUAGUACUUAAGUCAGAGGUGAAGCUGCCGAUAUUCUUUCAACAAGUAUUAGGCUUAAAAGAGGUGGGUUUGGUUUGUUUGCCCUAGUGACUUUGAUAGCUAAAGAAAACUGCUACGUGGUUUGUUUGCCCUAGUGACUUUGAUAGCUAAAGAAAACUGCUACAAGCAACGGCUUUCGAACACUAAUAAGCAAAGGUUGAUCCUUCAGAGCGUAAGGUCAAUCUGUACUGCUGAAGAAGGCGUAUACCUUAGGUGAGAUAAGUAAGCUGUGUCAUAAGCCGGCCUUUGACUUUGAAAAGUCCCCACGAUAGAAGUAAGUAAUGAAUGCGCCAGUGUCCCGGAAUAGAAGCAAGCAUAUGAUUGAUUGAAUUAAGUGGCUUAAGUGGCACUCAUAAGUAGUCUUGGUCCCAUCACUAUGCCAGCUCUUGUCAUGCGGGCUUACAAAUGCGGAAUAAAAGGGUUCCGUUUGCCUUUGGUAAAGAUGGGGAACACCCGCUCGCUCACCAGCAAAUUCAGGCUUCUUUGAAAAACUUGCUGCGGGGUAGCCCUUCCGUUUUGAAGCCCCUUCCUUCCCGUCCUAUGGAAGACCAAAAGUAGGCCUAUUACGAUAGGAUAGGGCAAAGAAAGCAUAUUCGAGUUUCUUUCUUUGCCGCCAAUCAAGGUCUGUCUUGUAUAAGCGAGCAGGCAGGAAUGAAGGCUAGACCGAUACAAUAAAUAGAUUACCACAACUAGAAUCGAAUUGAUUUCGAAAUGAACUAUAUUCCAAUCAAAGAAAUGCAAAAGAGAAAUAAGGAACCGGACUGGACUAAUAAGGCGGCCUUGAACGUUGAUUCAAUUACUGGUGGAAGGAAGAAUGCAUUACCCAUAGAAGAGGAGAAAGGUGCUAAAAGCCUGCCGAUCUUUGAUCCAACAAAGCUAUGCAAGAAGAAAAGCAUAUACCCAUUGACCGGUACAAAAGCCAUCUCCAUCAAUCUACGCUCAUGGAUGAUACAGUAACUAUAGAGAAAAAGGUGGGCGGGGGGAACGAAAGAAAUGUGUUGCUGAGGGUAGGAGAGAAAGAACACAUGCAUGGAAAUUCUUUAUGUCUAUGGUUAAAAAGAAUCAAUUAUAGGAAAGGACAUCUAAGACUAAAGAAUCAUUAUAGGAAAGGGAAAGCAGUCGUCAAUCAGGCUAAAGAAUCAUUAUAGGAAGGACAUCUAAGGCUAAGGAAUCAUUAUAGGAAGGACAUAACAAAGAAGUGGUGAUCUCAUCUCGUCUUGCUUGCUGGGAGAGAGGAAGCUUCCUUACCACCUUUUCCAGCCAUAUAGCGAGCGAUCACUAAGCAAUGAACACUAACUUCAAGCGUCCGAGAAGGAAGGACGGACUGCCUAUACCUUACGGGAAUGGAACCUCAUUCUUCGACAUUACAAGUGUACGGGGCUCCUUACCUCUUCCUAAUACUUUGAUUCUAUUAUUUAUUUACUUACCUCUUCCUAAUACUUUGAUUCUAUUAUUUAUUUCCAGGGCCAAGUAGACUAAGUGCUAAGGCGUCAGUUCAAUUAUAAGGAGCAAUCGGUUCUGCAAGUGAAGUGGACUACCCGGACUGCUAUGUAUAAGAAAUCACUAUCAAUUAAUUCUUCUCUUUAUGUAUAAGAAAUCACUAUCAAUUAAUUCUUCUCUUAUUAAGGAUAAUGUUUAGAAAGACACUCGCUACUACUCUAGCAAGUCCUGUGUUCGUCAAACCAGCGCAUCGCAUCUACUAAUAGGAGAGUCAGAAAACCACUCAGAACUUAGGCUUUCACUACUCAAUUCAAAGCUGUCCUGACUUACUUGGAUUCUUUAACUCCUAAGCACUGAUCCUUUCUUUACUGAACUCAAAGUUGCCCCAUUCCAACAACGCUUACGACGAUCUUUACUUGUUCAUUGAAACCCACCACUCCUUUCUUUCCAUUUAAAGUAGUAAAUACAAAAUGACUGGUUGGAGUAGCAAAGCCUUACUUUGACUUGUGAGUUGACUUCCACUACGGAGUUGUUUUCUUUAUUAUCAAAUUCCUUAUUCCGUUUUCAUAUGUAAUCGUAUGUAAUAUUGAUUAGUGAUUUAUUAGCGAAACUGGGGCAAAAACCAGUCCCAAAACUGUAGUGAUUUUUCCGUUUACCUGAUAGCUCUUGUGCAGGUGUUCAGUCAACAUAACUCUUCUAGGUCAACAUCUUUCUUCUAAGUAUCGGUGCACUAAGGUACUGAUGUGACUCCCCGUUGAGAUCAAGAAUAAUAAGGAGACUUACCUUACGCAGUAGCGCAUGUGCUAUAGGUGUAUGAGGAAGCCGGGUAUUCAAUUAGAAUCCAAGUUUCAAUAAGGAAUGAAGAGUCAGAGGGCUAGGCUGGAGUUUUUGUUGUAAAUAAAGGAAUGAGAAAUGAACCCAUGCCAACAGGAAUCCACCAACUAACAAUGCAGAAUGAUACUAAUAAGUCGUAAUGUGACUCAUAAGUCCAAGAAGGCAGAUAUCUGAAUAACCCCACUGACAACAUGACGUUAACUACUCACUAUAAGAAUCGUUACUUACUGGAAAGAAUCAAACCACUGCCAGCAAGAAUACACCUAGCGCUGACAGGGCUAAAACAAUCAACUGGGGAUUCAACUACCCACUAUUACACGCCAGAACAAGCCUUAUUUCUCAUAUAGAGGAAAAAAGAGCCUUACUCGCCUGUAGACCAACAACUCAUCUCGGGGAGUCAAUCUUACUUCACAAACCAAGCCCUACAGCCUCUUGUCUCAAACUUCAACUACUCCCUUGGAUUCUGUAAUUCAUAGCUGGCCUUUUCACUCCCCACUCUAAGCCUAUAACAAACUCGGGCUCGGUAAUAACAAAGAGGCGCAGGACACUCUCAUAACUCCCGAACACAGGACUUAGUCAUAACGAGUUAUAAUGCAUUUAUUUGUGGCUAUGCUUUUGUAGCCCAAACUCCUUAGAUUGUAGCUGACUUACCGGAUCCUGUUCGAACUUCUUAUCCAGCUCUAUCUGGUGCUUCAGAUACGAGAACUCUCGCUGGCCACUCUGCAGCCAAUGAUCUAUAUUCUAUUCCCAACACGUACUCAAUUGCAAGAAAGAGAAAGGUUGUCGAUUUGCUUCUCCUCUGCGCAAGUUCCAUUAAUGAUUUAUAGAAUAGAAUGGAUCCACAGUUCCUUUUGUUUAGGUGCGCGUGUUGUAUCCGAUUUGAGCAAAUAUACCUUGCGAAACUUAGAACUAAUAUACCUUGCGAAACUUCCCAGUAGUGGAUAGAGUAGUCCAAGUCGUCUAAUUGAAGCUGCAAGGAAAGGAGAAGAAAGUAUGGUUUGUUUCAGUUGACAGAUCUGGCUCAGAAGAAAGAGAAGUUUCAAGAUCUGUUAAAUAAAGUUCAAUAUAUGCUUACUGCUCAUCCCAGUCAUUCCUGCUUCGAUCUCCAAAAGGAUGCUUCGCUGCCUCUUCCCAGCUCUCCCUGUCAUCUGGACAUCCCAUAAAUUCUCUAAUAGCGUUUUCUCCAUAAAUCCUCUAACAGGGCUCUCCAGAGUUCCUCCCGCAACCUUCAACCUAAUCCCCCUAUUUAGAGUCAACUCUUCCUAUUGAGCUUUGCUGGUAAAAUAGGUUUUUCAAUAGGAACCUCCCGCGUAGCCACUUUCCUGGCUUCCAAUAAUUAGAGUUUUCCAAGAUGAUGCUCAUAGCCAUAGAUUUUGGAAAGUUAUCUAUAUGAGCUUGCACCGGCCACGUAGCAAAGACAACCUUCAACCUAUUUAGUUUCCUUCGAAGGAAGCUCCUCUCAAAGGGUAAUUCACAUGAUGAGCUUGGAUUUAGUUGUAGCUCGGGCUGUUGCUUUUCGAUACAUCCUAAAGUUAUGGGUCAGUAAGUGUUAUUGAAGAGAAACAAGCUUUCCCACGCGAUUUGUUGCUCCUCUGAUUCUAUAAGCCCGAGCCCUAGUUUCUCCCCCAGUGGCACGUAUGCGAAUUCAAAAGCGGUUAGGGUAUCGGUUGUGUUUGUUGAAUGAACUGCCUCGGCUGCAUAUAUGCCAAAAGCCCCCAUUCCUCUGUUCCUGGUUCGCCCUCUUUCUUAUGUUAUGUCGGACUAGGAUUUUCGCGAUUGAUCCCUUUUUUUUGGUUAUCAAAGCUCUAUCGUCUUACUGGCUCUAUCGUCUUACUGGAUUAAUGAAUGGAGGUUUUCUUGCUUGAUUUAGCGCUCAAGCCUAUUUUCCUCACAAAUGACGAAUAAUACAAUCUGUGCUAACUCCUCGUUAUACAUGAUUUUCACGCGUUCAGCAGCAUCAUGCCAAUACUAACCUUUCUGCUGUAGCCUCCUUAGUAUGCACCCGUAUAAUGUGGUGUGGCUAUUACUCUUUCCUCUUGCAGCUCCGCAACUUUGGAAGUCAACUUGAACCUAAGAAAUCUUUAGUGGAAGCUUUCAUGAGCAGAGCAGCUAAACAUCUAUUUGGUAAAUCAGUGAUUACAAUAAUCGGUACAUUCCUUUUUUUGUGGAAGGGAGCUUGGGACUUUAUAGAAAGUCUGAAACUAUUACCCCCAAGUAUUUGGAGUAGCGCUACCGGUUUUACAGCCAUGAAAUUGAGGUUGGUUUUGGUGUCUUAUCGCGGGUCCUCUUCCAAGUAGAAAUCAUCGAAAACCCAUAGAUCGGAGUAGUCGUGUGCUCCACUAUAAUCUGGAAAUCCAGAACAACUAGGUGAAUAAAUGUAAAGUACCCGGCUAAGCAUUUGGCACAAGAGUUUCUUUUGCGUAGCAUACCAUAGAGCAGUAGCAGCUUGGUCAUGGGUGGUCUUUCAAAGAGAAGAUUCGUUGCUAUCCAAUCGAGUAGCAGGUAUCUUUCACCCAGAUCCUCGAAUUUCUACUUACUCGGGUAGUUCUUCUGCUUCAAGUACGUUUCAAACCUUGCUUGCUGGCUAUUUUCCUUUUUCAAACCUUGCUUGCUGGCUAUUUUCCUUCAUUAGUAUUUCCCGAGUUUCCUCGAAAAUGGUUUAUAGAGCAUGGAUGUUAUUUACUAGGUUCUCCCGCUGUUCAGGAUCAUCAGAAACCUGUGACCACUCAUCCAUUUCCUUCCACUUUUGAACUAUUGUAAUUAAUGGGUUAUUGUGGAUUUGGAUGUGUUUCCUGCGCCUUCGCCAUCUCUUUGAUUCUGCUUGGCCUCAACUAUGUGUAGCUCCACCGCAUUAGCCAGACCUUGUACGGGCUUUUCCCUUGAGUGGACGAGCCUUCUUCAUUCACAGAGAAACCUGCUCUUUGCUUAUUGGGCUUCAAUCUCCAUCCUAGUGUCUUUGCCUCCUCCACUGAUAUCAAGUUUUGGGUAGGACCCCAGUUUACGAUGGCCCGAGUCUUCUUCCCAUGGAUUCCCACUUCAACCCUUUUAUCACCGACUUGGACUUCUCUUUUGCCAUGGCAUUGAUCCGCUUUCAAUAUCCAAAUUGCACUCCUCAUCUGGCUCCUAUAUUUUGUUCCUUAUAAGAAAAUAGGUAACGAGUUCGCUCAAUCCCAUGUAUAGAUGAUCGAAAACCAAGUUGCUAACUCUCGCCAUCAGCCAAUCGAGCCGCAAGAAUGUCAAAAGAGAAAAGUAUCUUUUUCGAGUGAUUGCAGAACACGAUCCGCGAUAAGAAGCACAUCCAUCAGAAAGAAAGGCCCAAUGCUCCUUUGCAAGACUAGCCACUCUUAUAGAAAGGAAAUCUUAUAGAAAGGAAAGGAGAAACUGUUCAAAACUAACUGCUCUAGCAUCUUUCUAUCCAUGCGACAUCUCUUGCUUUCUGGGAGGGUAGCGCAGGCCAAAUACGGAAGCCCUAAGAGCUGCGAUAGCCACUCGAAGCUAGAAAGAAAAGCUGCCAACGGAAAGAGGGCGUGGCUGUAAGUCUGUUCAACCAUUCACUCUGUACUUGAACCUCCCCUCUAACUCGAUCGGAAGGAGGGGGAAGAUCUUACUCGACGUCUAUCAUUUCGAUCGGAUAGCUAUCUCACUGCCAUUCUCGCUUCUUCUGUGCUUUGUCGGCCUUUUAGUGUGCUGUGCCCCUCUUCGUUUUCUUGGUUCGCUCUCUCGGGUCAGUAGGGGCGGCGGUGUAAGGAAAAACAAACCCCUCUCGGCGAAGGGGAUGGACGGAUGAAAAGGCUGGUGCGUACGUUUACAUAGCUUUUUGUACCACGACCCGACGGGUUCAAGAGAGAGAUCGACCAGAAAGGAUGACUGCUGCUUUCAUGCUGUUCUAUUCCUUUUUGUCUUUUCUUGUUUGUCGUGAAGAAACUAUUUCAUGGACGUUAAAUAGAGAUUGAUAGCAAAGAGAGUUGGAGUCGCGAAGAAACUAUUUCAUGGACGUUAAAUAGAGAUUGAUAGCAAAGAGAGUUAGAACGCGGUCUCGUAGGGUGGGUUUCCUCUUAUCCGCCCCUUAUUCGAGGCAUGCCAAGAAGGUAUCGAGCCACUCGCUUAGAGUUCGGUGCUAGGAUCUACCCCCUUACUUAAGGCUAGUUCAGCUAUAAGAGAAGAAAGCGACCAAAAGCAUCGUAAUAGACGCAAGAGCAAGCUGCACCCACCAGGUAAUACUAGUACUUAAGAAUCGGCUCUGAAGCUUGGCCCGCCUUCUGCUUCGUUGGUUGUUAAGAGAGAGCCCCUCCCUGUAAAGCAUUAGGGGGUUUUCAUAGGGGCGGGUCUGUGUGUGGGGGCGAGUAUAGGACACCGAUAAAGAGGCCCCGCUCUCUUGGGCUUCCUUAGCAAACCGAUACAGGGAGCAAAGGCAAUAGGUGGAUGUUCGCCUCGCUUCUGAACUCAGUGACUUAUAUAUCUAUUUCUUAUUGAAGAAGCUUGUUCGAUAGGAGCAAGCGGAAUAAGCGAGUUUAGUAUACGACCCGAGUUCUCAGACAGUAAUAGCCUUUUUCUUCUUUCGCCUGGAGCCGGAUAUGAACUAAAGGGAUCGAUCCCAAUUGCCUGAGUUCUUUACCUUUUUCCUUCUAUUCCUUAUUAUCAAGGAAAUAGCACCACAGUGAAAGCAGAAGACGAAGAAUACUCUCGGCUGGCACUUGGGAUCUUUCUUAAAUGAAAUAAAUUACCUUACGGGUAAGGAAGGGUAUUUACUACUCUAUGGCAAUUUCGCUUAUUCCUUCUAACCCGACAACAUAGGAUAUGCCGCCAGCGGCAAGAGCUUUUAUUAUGAAACGGAAACCUUUUCUUUUCUGGGGAACUACGAAAGAAUGGAAUCCGGGGGUGCCCAAACCUUUUGGCUUAGUUCAUACUUAUUGCUUCAUUUAACAAGAGAGAAGACCUACUCUAUUUCCUUGCUCGAUGCGAGGAGAGAAAAAAGCAUUUCUAGAGUCAAUAAGAAUUUCCAUUAAUUUCAAGGGAGCUGCAAGAGAGGAGAGAGUUGGGACAAAGAAUAGGAAUCGAAUUCAUUCCUACAUUAGCAUUUGAGUCCGGUGGGAUUGAUGGACAGAAGGAAGUGAGAUAGCUUUUCGGAUGAGCAUACAUUAUUGUAGCAUUGAUACCGAGAAGGAGCUCUGCUCUUUGAUAGAUGUAAAAGAAUAAGAAGUUUUGAAAGGUCACUUGAUCUAGAUGCGGAGUAUCGUUUGCACAGAGAACCUUUUUGAUUCCUUUUCAUUUCAAUAAAUAAGAAGAGGUGGUCUUUCAAUAAAUAAGAGGUGGUGGUCUUUCAAUAAAUAAGAGGUGGUGGUCAAGACCUUAGGAAGCUCGACGCAUCUAGUUUCGGUCUUGCUAACAGGCGAAAAAAAGGAUGUUGGCCUUCCCAUUGGAAGUAGGGAAAGGGGACCCCACUGAGAAUCCACCAGAGAAUCCACCCGGCCAAAAAUGCCAGUAUCCAUUUAGCAUAUAUAUCCAUUUGGAUCUUAUUCCAGUUUCAGGGGUGUAAUGUGCCUAUUCUAUAACUUACAUUAUGGGUAUGCCUGAUAUGAUAACUUCAAGAAAGAGCUGGGUAUGCGGAUAUUCUCACUUCAAGCUUCAAGCAGUUUUGUUACUCCAUAUUUCUAUACUAUAUGAAACUUCAAUUAUGCAAAAUGGUCAAAUAUAUAUCAUUUCCACUCAAGUACUCAGUGUACUCAGUGCAACUCAUCUUUUGGAAAAUAUAUAAUAUAUCAUUUCCACUCAACAAGAGCUCCGUAAGCAGAAGUGAAAGACCAAAUUGAUUCAAUAUUGUCCGAUUCAGACUCAAUUCAAUGAUUUCGAACAAAUGCGAAAGAACAAGUAAGCAAGGCAGGCAAGGCAAGUGAGUUCGCCCAUGAUGGAGUUCAGUCAGCAGUUCAAACAAGCAAGGAAACAAGCCCUAGUGCAUUAUAAGUUGAGUUCUUCAAGUCAAGUUUCGAUUCCAUUCCAGUUGUUGGCGAAAGAAAGGAAGCUUCAAUGGAAAGUUUCGUUUUCGUUUCAAGAUCCGCUCUUAAAGCAAAGGUAUAAAGUAGUCAAGUGGCCAGGCUGAUGCUUAUGCGCUCGGAAAGAUCCGUAUUUGCAAGAGGGCGAGCGAGUGUACGAUAACCAUAAGCUGUAUCUGAAGCGGGAAGGGCAAAGCUACUACGUCAGACCAAGCGCCGGGAUGAGCGCGGUUCUAGUGAUAGCUCAAUGUAAUCGACCCUUAUUUCAUCCUAUAUACUUAUUUCAUCCUAUAUAGUUUCAGAAGCUAGAGAAGGUGAUGAAGCAGUUCGGAAUUCAAGUUAAUGGAAAUCAUAUAGUACUUGCGUUUCAUCUAGGUUUCUAGGUUCGGUGUAGGUUCCUUGGCUUUCCCUUUGCGCCCUACCGUUGCUUGUUUUGGUACAAAGAAUGGAGUUGAGCUCAUAGAUUUCAUUCAUAAAGAAAGAGGGAUCUUCUGCCCAAGAUAGAUCAAAUUCCGUAUUUCCUUUUCCUGGUUGACUUUACUCGCCUUAAGAAACAAGCAAAUUGACUUUACUCGCCUUAAGAAACAAGCAAAUAAGAGUCAAGGAAUAGUCUUGCAUGGCUACGGGUCAUAUUCCUACCUUAGAUAUUCAACUCACACAAUUGGCAAACGAGAAUAGCUUGUUCUACUUUCAUACCGAGGAGCGGAAUAAUCCUUCAAUUCCAUCCCACCGGCAGGAUAAGCUGCAACAGAAGAUUGAGUUCGAUAAUCAUCCCAUACAGAAGCAAGAGCAAGAUGAGUAUCAUCAGAUGGAGCAGUGGCAACGAGAUCAGAAGAAAGAGCUGGCUGGGUAUUGGUCUUUAUCCGUAUUCUUGUGUUGGAGAAUAAACUAGAUGCUGGGCGAGGCAAGAUAAGGAGCUGUUUCAGUUGAAAGAUCUAGAUCAUAGUCCGGAGUGAAGUACCAGUGUUCUAUUUGUAUUGGAUAAUAUUCCUCACUACACGGGAUGGAUCGCUAUAGGUCCUAGAUAGCUUACUUGCUUGCUCCUACAAUAACUUGCUCAUAGUUAGAUCGGCCAAUAGCCCUUAGAUCCUUUGGACGGCGCGAAAGACUUAUGGUUUCAACCUCAACAACCUCCUACAUAGAUUGAUAGCACGGAGUAAGAUAAGAUAGAUGAAUAGCAAUGAGCAAGAUAGAUGAAUAGCAAUGAGCAAGUAUGUAAAGUCGAAGUCAAUAAAGAAAGUAGUCUAUCAUGGUCCCGAUCAAUGGUUUCAUUCUGGAUCUUUGGCUGUUUCUAUUCAGAAAGGGGCUGUAAAGUACCCAUCUUCUGUUCAAUGCACUUCCUGUUGAGUGAAAGAAAAUCCUUUAGAAUGGUGCUUGCCAAUCACUCCUUGCCCGAGCAAUACAGUAAAGGCCGUGUCUUAGUGCCCAACAAAAGAUCUUUGCUUUGGAGAGCUAACGUAUAUGUAGCAGCCCUCUGUCCUGUUAGUAUUGGGUGCCUCUCUCUGCCUAAGGGACGAUUGUCAGAUAUGAAUGAAGUAUAAAAGAGAAAGAAUCCCUAAAUCAAUAGGAGGUCUAGAUUACAGCCCACCAGACUUCAACAAAUAAGUAAGAAAGACUCUUUACCUCUAGCUCUUAUAUUGCAUAUUGCAUCCCACCCCUCUUAACCUCUAGCUCUACUUGUAUAGGGUCGAACCUCUCCCGGAACCUUAUAACUAUAAUCUGAAUCUGGUUAGUUUCUCUCAUUUGUGCUUCUUGACAUUCGAUUCUUCCUGAUAGUGUAAGAGAAGGGGAAUUUCCAGAGAUGCUUGACAGGAAAGCAAUAUAAGCACUUUAGGAAAGUCAAAGAGACGUGGGUCUGCUCGAAAGAGGGAAAGGAGGAAGGCUGCCAGUGGUAGAGGUUGUAAAGUCAAGCUGUGAGAGAAUAAGGUGCUUCGCUCUUGCCUCACCCUCGGUCAUCUGCCUGUACCCCAUUCGCCAGUGGCAAGUGCUUGUUGGUCAGUGAAAUAGAUAUCUGCCUUCUUAUAUCUGCUCCGCAAGCCUGUAUGUAUGUAUAGUCAGUCUGUCUCCACCUGUAAGCUUAAGGAAGUGCAGGGCAGUUUCAAGGAAAAGCUUUAAUAUAGAUAGCUCUGAUCUCAGCCACUAGCUAGCAGCCUGCCAGUAGCCUGUGAUCCAGGAAGGGCCAAGACACUGCUUUAGAAAAGAGAAACACAUACGAGCAUUUCUGCUCUAAGGUCUCAAACCGGAAUACCUCAUUUCAGGAGUAUCGAGUUUACUGAACACUAGCAUAUUUACGGAAUUCCUCUGAAAAACCACUCAUCUUUCUCAUAUACUAACUAAGUAGACGCACAGUAGCAAGAAAGCACUAUCCUAAUAUCUCUCCUUAUUAAGGAUAGCGUUUCGACAGAUCUGAUGCCGGGCCCCGAGUGUUAAGAAUACGGAUCCGGUAAGGUUAGAAUUGCUCAUAUGACAAGAAAUAAGGAUAGUUAGUAAGGGAAAAUUCAUUGAGAAUUUCAUAUAUCUUUAUUAAGGAUUUAGAAGCGGGUAAUUCACAAUUCCAUUCCUCAGUAUAUGCUUGCCCUGUUCGUAAACUCUAAAGUCGUAAUUUCAUUGUUUAUAAGGAAAGAAUUCUUUUAGUGCAGAGGUUAUACUAAGUUCAAUAGAGUAUUUGCUUCUUUCAUGGCGUUAGUCCGAAUCUACUCAAGAAUCAGAGGUGUAAGUGGAGUUGUCCAGUUAUGGUUCUAGUUUCAUCAGUUCUAUUAUCUCUUAUAUAUAAGAUAGAAGAUAAGUUGUCAUGUUCUUCUCCCUGCUCAAAGAAAGAAUUUCCGUAGGAAUGUUCCUCUACAGUGUGUGUACAGUGGAAAUUGAAGUUGUUCCCCAUUUUGUUUAUCUUGUUGAGGUGUUAUCGACCCCUUCAGAGCAGACAGAGGUGUUAUCGACUAUUCCUUCAGUAGCAGGCAGAGGUGUUUAAGGAGUAUAAGCCAUAGGAGAGAGAUUAGUUGUUGUUCUUAUACAGAUCUCUGGAAGAGGGUACCGAUCUAGUGCAUUAUCCAAGAGGUAUCCCCUGUGUCAGUAGUAGUGGCUGGGCGGAGUGUCUUUUGCAGGAUCAUUAGCUGAAUAAAGAUCUUGAUCCGGGGAUCCUCAGUGGGAGUAGGAUGCAGAGACUAUUGUCGACUUAACUCUCACUUAUGAUUCUAGAGUUGACUUUCCCUUAGCUACAUUAUCUAGGUAUACCUAGCAACAUUGCUUCCAAGACUAUAGCUACUAAGAAACAUAUGACCAAUUCUACACAAUAGGUAAGGCAAGUUCUAAUUGAACAAAGAAAAAGUGAAGAGCGGAGCAAGAGGGUAAAGAUGUUCGGAUCAAAUUCAUUCUCAGGCAAGUUGAUGAGUUUAAUAAGGAUUUCCCAUAAAACAUAAGAAGUUAUUAAAUAGUUCAUUUGUAGUGUAUACCUUCCCCCUCUUCUGUGAUAGAACCUGUCCUGUCCGAGGUAGGAAAUGGAAAAGUGUCUGUUUGUCUGCUUGUUUAGAAGCAUCAAUGGGCAAUUAUAUGCGGGUCAUGUCCACGCCCAGCGUUCUUCUUCUAGCGAGGCUCCCCUCAAGGACGAGUGCUUUUCUUUCCUUGAUUUCGUUUUCGUGCCUUUACAGUCUCCACAGCAUCUCUAUUCCUGACAAGCCAAUGAGUCUUUCAUAAAGUGGGUUAACCUCAAUAGCUACGAUCGGCAGUUUAGCCCCUUUGUGAUGGGUCUUGCCUGUCCCUCUGAGCUUGGUCGUCACUAUAGGUGGUCUGAUGUCUGUGAGGAGUGCGACAUAACCCUAGAUCCGCUUUUUGAUCCUUCAGAGGUGGCUUGUUACGCCUCUUGGCCUCUACAAGCUUACAUAAAAGGUUUCCCCCUCUCGCAUUCCCUUUCCCUGACCUAUACAUAUAAUGAUGCCUGUCUGCUUUACGCCUUCUCUGCUCCUCUUUCGCCUAGUGGGACUGCCUCUCCUCUCUUUGAGACAGUUCAUUACAAUACCCUUAAGGUGUCUGGUGGCACGGUGAAGUCUACUGUAGUUUUACAUUGAUGCCCAUCGUCGUGUGUUCCCCGCCUUCAUGAGGCAUGGGAGCAUUAGUCUUAUUAGCGUGGUCUGCGCGUUGCUUUGUCCUUCUUUUUCUGUUGUAUGGGUCGUUGUGUCUUGCUAUUUCUGUUAUUCGUUUCGUAUGCCUCUGUGCGCUUUCUCUGCUUAACUAUACAUCAUUCGACCCCCAAGAAAACCCUGUUAGUGGAAUUCUAAGUGUUCUACUAGAUGCGUAAGAUCAUACCCCAUAUCAUAGAAUCGCGU